rnacentral:rRNA from 1 species
CUCCCUGAUGUUAGCGGCGGACGGGUGAGUAACACGUGGGUAACCUGCCUGUAAGACUGGGAUAACUCCGGGAAACCGGGGCUAAUACCGGAUGGUUGUUUGAACCGCAUGGUUCAAACAUAAAAGGUGGCUUCGGCUACCACUUACAGAUGGACCCGCGGCGCAUUAGCUAGUUGGUGAGGUAACGGCUCACCAAGGCGACGAUGCGUAGCCGACCUGAGAGGGUGAUCGGCCACACUGGGACUGAGACACGGCCCAGACUCCUACGGGAGGCAGCAGUAGGGAAUCUUCCGCAAUGGACGAAAGUCUGACGGAGCAACGCCGCGUGAGUGAUGAAGGUUUUCGGAUCGUAAAGCUCUGUUGUUAGGGAAGAACAAGUACCGUUCGAAUAGGGCGGUACCUUGACGGUACCUAACCAGAAAGCCACGGCUAACUACGUGCCAGCAGCCGCGGUAAUACGUAGGUGGCAAGCGUUGUCCGGAAUUAUUGGGCGUAAAGGGCUCGCAGGCGGUUUCUUAAGUCUGAUGUGAAAGCCCCCGGCUCAACCGGGGAGGGUCAUUGGAAACUGGGGAACUUGAGU